CACCGGGGAGUAUCUUCUGAUUCUGUGUUCUUUAAGUCCCUUGGCUUCUCCUGGAAGUUGUCAGUCAGUCUAGCUGGUGUUCUGGGGGAGGGGCCUGUUGUGCUGAUUUUCAGGUGUUAGCAGUUGGGGGAGCUGCUGUGCCCCUGCCUGGUGCAGGGCUCGGUGGGGGUUGUUUACCCCGUGAGGCCACAGGAGGAACAGCCUCAGUGGCGGGGCAGCUCUGGAAACCUGGAUUCAGCUCCGGCAGGAACUCCGUCUGCAGGGCCUGGAGGCUCCGGGGCGGGGCCGCUGAUCUGCUCAGCUGGGGCAGGAGCGUCCUCGCUGUCCUGGGCCCUCCCGGCCUCUGCCUGUCCCGGGGGAGGCCGGAUCCUGGGCUGUGUCCCGGCGCCCUGUGCUCCGGAGCCUGCGCUGUUGGAUUCGCGCUCCCGGACCGCGCAGCCCCCUCCGCGGAGCUGCCGCCCGAGCCCCUCCGAGCUGCUCCUGGAACCGCGCAGCCCCCUCUGCACGGAGCCUCUUCCUCUGCCCGAGCCCCUCCGAGCUGCUCCCGGGGCCGCGCAGCCCCCUCCGCCCGGAGCCUCUUCCUCUGCCCGAGCCCCUCCGAGCUGCUCCCGGGGCCGCGCAGCCCCCUCCGCGGAGCCGCCGCCCGAGCCCCUUCAGCUGCUCCGGGUCCCGCCGGGUCCCGCCGUGCGCGCUGCAGCCCUUAGGGAGCUCGGCGCACUCUCCUGGGCGCGCAGUUGCUGUUACUGUCCCCGGGAGCCCGAGGGCAUCCCCGCCCUCCUGGUUCCUGCUCCAACCCCCUGCGAGCCCCUUUCCGCCCGGGAAGGUCGGUGCAGCUCCUGCGUCUCCGGGACGGGGCUCUCCUGUCCUGGGGACCCUCGCCCCGGCCUCAGCCCGGCUCCUCGCGGGGCCCCUCCCCCUUGGAGGCCUUUGUUCCUUUAUUUCUUUUUCCCCGUCUUCCUACCUUGAUAGAUGCGCGAACUCUUCUCACUGUAGCAUUCCAGCUGGUCUCUCUUUAAAUCUCAGGCCGAAUUCAUAGAUUUUCAGGAUAAUUUGAAGGUUUUCUAGGUAGUUUGGUGGAGACAGGUGAUUUGGAGACCCUACUCUUCCGCCAUCUUGCUCCUCCCCCCCUUUAGUACUAUUUUGAUUAACAAUGGUGUACGGAG
rnacentral:lncRNA from 12 species